CGCGCCGCCGCCAGCCGCGGACGUGGCUUGGCCCGCUCCAAAAUCCGGCGCUAACCUUGUGCUGGACGUGCCGUGCACUGCGGCCGCACCCACGCCACGCCGCCCCGACAGGGGAUGCCGAGCAGUGUGGGCGCGCGCCGCCCGCGGCCAGAAUAGCGAGCCGUAGCGUGGCGUGGCGUGGCGCUGAGCAGAGGCCCGGCGCGCCGCCUUGGGGAAGGUCCGGGACGCGACCGCCGCCGCCGCCGCCGCCGCCGUUUGUUUGCUCUGCCGCUGCCGCGAGGUCACUGCGCGCAGCACAGCUCUCGCUGCGUGUCGCUUGAAGCAGAAUAUUCGUGCAGUUGAAGCGGAAAGACGAGACCACUCAGAAGAACAAACAGUUCCUGAAACUGAAUAAAAUCAAAAAAGGAAAGGGAAGAAACAACAGAAGGGAACUAAUAAAGAAGAAAUAAGAAAUGAAAAGAGAAGAAAAGUCAUAAACAAUUAAAUUUGUAAUUUCUUUUUUGAUCUGCAAACAUUAACAUCAUAUUUGAGAAAGGCUUUCCAUACAUAUAUAUGGGCAGAUUAAGACCCCUGCUUAUUCAGUUCAGCGAACACCUACUCUGAUUUCCCACUGAAAAUUAAUAUUAAUAAAUUAGUAUGUUAGCAAUGAUACAUGGAUAUUGGCACAAUCCCAUCCAUUAAUAAAUUAUUCAUGUAGUACGGUGAGAGGAGUGGCGUAAUUGAGAUGUACCUUAUGUGUUUGGAAUUAAGAGUAUUUUACCGUUUCAUACUGACAUAUUAUAAAGAGUACAAUACUCAUGCAAAUGUAACUUAAGCAGUGGCUUUUUCUAAUUAUUUGUGUUAAAUAAAUCAAUAAUAUUAUGUCAAGAACGCUAAUUAGUAGACAAUGAAUGUUUAUGCGUCUGGUUUAAGAUAUGAAACGCGUUUUUCGUAUUUCAAGUAUCUAAUAAAGUAUAGACCAUUGAUUACAGACGUAAAUUACUUACAUUUCCAGCAAAAACUGACAAUACUUGAUUAAACAUAUUUUUGCACAGCAAAUGUUGUCAUUAAAUUCUACGUAAAUGGGAGCAAGUGUUGGAAGAAA